UACGUAGGGUGCAAGCGUUAAUCGGAAUUACUGGGCGUAAAGAGUGUGUAGGCGGUGUUCCCAGUCUGUUGUGAAAUCUCCCGGCCUAACUGGGAGGGUGCAGCGGAAACUAGAAUGCUAGAGGGUGGGAGAGGUAAGCGGAAUUCCUGGUGUAGCGGUGAAAUGCGUAGAUAUCAGGAGGAACACCGGCGGUGUAGACGGCUCUCUGGACCGUAACUGACGCUGAGACACGAAAGCGUGGGUAGCAAACAGG
rnacentral:rRNA from 1 species